UUCUGAGAGGCACAGCUCUGUCUACUGGGAAACGCGCUAAAAGUCCUUCUGGAGGUGUAACAUCUACCAAUGGUUGUACAUGACACCACCUCUUUGCUGUCCUACUAGUCAACCCUCCUGAUCAGAGCCUUUCCUAAAUAGUGAAAGGGUCAAAAAGUUUCCUGUACAUGGUACCAUGCCUGUCCUCUGUUCCACAUGUCUUCAGUCCGUUCUGGACCCAUGACUCGGACACUAGUUCUACCAAGGCUCAUUAGAGAGUGCUUCAGAGGAUGGCUGAAUUAACAAAACGUGGAGAAGACCGAGAGGGAGAAGUUGGCCGGUUACUACAUUUCACAAAAAAUACAGGACCUUGUGAAAAACUGAAAGAAACAAUUGAAGGAAACUGCUUAAAAAUAUGAAAUGCAAACAAAGAGCCGUCUGUCUGGUUUCUCUGCGCAGGUGAAUGUCCCGCUGCCUGCAGCCGCUAACGGAGCUGCGUAGUGCCCAUCCUCCAGCGGACCCGAGCCUGGCACCGUCCUGCGGGAUGCUGCGGGAAACCGUGCCCGCUCACAGGCUCUCUGGUCCGCAGCAGGUGUACCCGCGCCCCCCCCCACACGGUGCAACCUCCUCUUGGUCUCUAGCUAACCUCGGUCUGUCAGGUUGACCCCUCUGUUUUCAGUCCAGCAUCAGCAUCAGCAGCUAAGAUGUACAUGACAGUUUAUAGGAUAACGAUGAAAAUAAACAUGCACUGCUCACAAGCUAAAGAGCAGGUGAAUGCUUGUGUUACCUUCUUUCUUCAGUGGGACCGGAGCCUGGGG